GAUGAACGCUCGCUGUGUGCCUAAUACAUGCAUGUUGAACGGGAUGUAGCAAUACAUUCAGUAGCGAAUGGGUGAGUAACACGUACCUAACCUACCUUUAAGACUGGGAUAACUAUUGGAAACAAUAGCUAAUACCGGAUAUAGUUAUUUAUCGCAUGAUGAGUAAUAGAAAGGAGCUUCACAGCUUCACUUAAAAAUGGGGGUGCGGAACAUUAGUUAGUUGGUAGGGUAAUGGCCUACCAAGACGAUGAUGUUUAGCCGGGCCGAGAGGCUGUACGGCCACACUGGGACUGAGAUACGGCCCAGACUCCUACGGGAGGCAGCAGUAAGGAAUUUUCCACAAUGAGCGAAAGCUUGAUGGAGCGACACAGCGUGCAGGAUGAAGUUCUUCGGAAUGUAAACUGCUGUUAUAAGGGAAGAAAAAAUAGAAUAGGAAAUGAUUUUAUCUUGACGGUACCUUAUUAGAAAGCGACGGCAAACUAUGUGCCAGCAGCUGCGGUAAUACAUAGGUCGCAAGCGUUAUCCGGAAUUAUUGGGCGUAAAGCGUCCGUAGGUUUUUUGCUAAGUCUGGAGUUAAAUGCUGAAGCUCAACUUCAGUCCGCUUUGGAUACUGGCAAAAUAGAAUUAUAAAGAGGUUAGCGGAAUUCCUAGUGAAGCGGUGGAAUGCGUAGAUAUUAGGAAGAGCACCAAUAGGCGAAGGCAGCUAACUGGUUAUAUAUUGACACUAAGGGACGAAAGCGUGGGGGAGCAAGCAGG
rnacentral:rRNA from 1 species